rnacentral:tRNA from 1 species
GCCGCCUUACCAGUCGGCAGAGCGAUUCACUCGUAAUGAAUAGGUCAAGGGUUCGAUUCCCUUAGGCGGCUC